rnacentral:rRNA from 1 species
UACGUAGGGUGCGAGCGUUGUCCGGAAUUACUGGGCGUAAAGAGCUUGUAGGUGGUUUGUCGCGUUGUUCGUGAAAUCCCACGGCUUAACUGUGGGCGUGCGGGCGAUACGGGCAGACUGGAGUACUGCAGGGGAGACUGGAAUUCCUGGUGUAGCGGUGGAAUGCGCAGAUAUCAGGAGGAACACCGGUGGUGAAGGCGGGUCUCUGGGCCGUAACUGACGCUGAGGAGCGAAAGCGUGGGGAGCGAACAGG